rnacentral:sRNA from 1 species
GCUGGGCAUGGUGGUGCAUGCCUGUAAUCCCAGCUACUCAGGAGGCUGAGGCGGGAGAAUUGCUUGAACCCAGGAGGCGGAGGUUGCAGUGAGCCGAGAUCGUGCCAUUGCACUCCUGCCUGGGUAACAAGAGCAAAACUCCGUCUCAA